AUUUUUUCAGAUACCUGCUAAUAUGUAGAAGUAUGACAUGAAUAUCGCCUUGCAAAUUUUAUCAAGCGUAUUCUGGAAUUCGAAGCCCCUAAAGUAAACUGGACAAAGAUCUAAGAUCCAGAUAUUCAUAGGUUGAACAACUUGGGACCUACACAAGUGCAUCUUACUGAAUGAAGACUUUCCGUCCACCAAUCCCGUCCAAGGACAAUUGUUUUCUUGGUUCUGCGUACCUCAGUAAUUUACACUAAGGAUGCUAAAUGUGCUGAAUUACCCGUCAAGGACAUCAAAACAUCAGGAAUUCAAGGACAUGGUGUUAUUUAACAUGCUUCAACCGAAUUGAUGACAACAAAAGUGGACACGAUUCGGAAGUUUCAUCAAGCUUAUCUUGGAAUCGGAAGUCUUUACAAAUUAUGGACAAAAAUUCAAAAGCUGCAAUUGAUAUUUCAAGAAACUUGCGAUUUAUACCAAGUUUAAAAUGUAUCGAUUAAAAUGAUAAAAAUUGGAUUAUAAAACCAAUCUGCACAGUAGAAAUGAUAUUUAAUAUAAUCAACAUUUUUGGCUGCUAAUAUAUUUUUGAAAUGAUUGCUUCUAUUGUCACUCCAAAUGAUGGAUAACAUUUAUUAAGAACUUCUCUGAAAAAUGCAGAAAUUCGUUUACAAAAGUUUGAUGUUUAAUGAAGUAUCUUUCGUGCAUCGCAGUUAUCAUGCAUUCAAAAUAAAUGUUUGGCUCGUCAAUUAAUAUUUCGUCGAGAAAUUUUUCAGAAUAUUUUAUUCAGGUAUCAACUCUGUUAAUGAAACGGUAACGUAUUGGUGCAUAUUACGUUUAUUCGGAUAUGAAGCAAUCCGUUUUCUAUUCUGCUUUUCAAGACCUUGUAUCUGAAAAUCUAAUUAGCUAUGAAAUAUGCUAUGGGAUAGAUAAAAAACCUAUUUUAAAAUCUGCAUUAUUUGAAUCUCGAUAUGUUCACAAUCGUAGCUUGAACAGAGCUAUUUCAAUGAUGGAAAUGGACGUUGUAUCUAUAUUUAAAGCUAAAGAAAAUAUUGAUACCCUUCGUUUUCAUUUUGCACUGAAUGACGGUGCAUGACAAAGCAGCUUAAUAUGGUUCAUAGUUAGUCUCGUCUUAAGAUGUGGAGUUAUUUUGAUACUCGCCCUAUAAAGGUUUUUGCAAUGUUAUACUAGAAAUAUUCACUUUUUACACGAAUUGACUUUGCAUUUUCUUUUAUAAGGA